rnacentral:rRNA from 1 species
GACGAACGCUGGCGGCGUGCCUAAUACAUGCAAGUAGGACGCAGUUGCGAACGGGGGAGUAACGCGUAGGUAACUACCUAUUAGAGGGGGAUAACUAUUGGAAACGAUAGCUAAUACCGCAUACUAGUAGAUGGAUCUGCGUUGUAUUAGAUAGUAGGUUGGGUAAUGGCCUACCCAGGCAACGAUACAUAGCCGACCUGAAGGGGUGAUCGGGCAAACUGGGACUGGGACACGGGCCAGACUCCUACGGGAGGCAGCAGGAGGGAAACUUCGGGAAAGGGGGGAACCCUGACCCGGCAACGGCGGGUGAGUGAAGAAGGUUUUCGGAACGUAAAGCUCUGUUGUUAAGGGAGCGGUACCUAACCAGAAAGGGACGGCUAACUACGUGCCAGCAGCCGCGGUAAUAC